rnacentral:rRNA from 1 species
CGUUGUUCGGAAUCACUGGGCUUAAAGGGCGCGUAGGCGGGCUCACAAGUCAGGGGUGAAAUCCCACGGCUCAACCGUGGAAGUGCCUUUGAUACUGUGGGUCUUGAGGGAGGUAGGGGCGUGCGGAACUUCCGGUGGAGCGGUGAAAUGCGUAGAUAUCGGAAGGAACACCGGUGGCGAAAGCGGCGCGCUGGACCUCUUCUGACGCUGAGGCGCGAAAGCCAGGGGAGCAAACGGG